GAGCGUAGUCGCACUCAGUCGUGCCCGGCGCGUCGGACCGUCAAAACGCCAGCAUGCCCGAAAACGGGUUUACAGAUGGCUGAAACUGACUGCGAGUUCGAAAUAAACAUAAUCUCAUGCAAGAAUAUCUUUAAAAAAUGGAUGAAAUUAUGAAUCAAGUCUUCUGGAACGAAAUUUUUUGAAGAAUUUGCUGUUUUUCGAAUUGACAAAUUUUUGAUGAACAUGAGCAAGUUCCAACGGGAUAGAUUUUUAAGAUGCUUCCUGAUGACAUCGGUUGCUGGAUUCUACAACAUGAAAAUAAUCAAGUUCUCUUUGUAAGAAGGAAAACAAAAAGAGCUCGAAAUUAACGCAAACCGUUGGCCAAGGACGCCGUUAUUACCCUGUGAUACAGCUUUCACCGGCGAAUGAGACAAUUGAUGUUUGGAAGGGGAUUCGGAUAAUUCGCUGAUGAGGUCGUGUAUGUCCCUCCAUGACAAAUAUCGUGUCCGGGCCAGCCCACUCUCACAUAACAAUCGCCUUCGACGGAAACAUGAUCGAUUCUCUUUUUCACAAGGCUGCGUCUCGCCGGUGGAGUAUGUCGCCUUUUGUUACGAUAUGGAAUGAAACGUGUGGUUUCUAAACACUUAGAAUUAUGUGCCAAUAUAACCACAACCACUGAGACCAUUAUUCCUAAAUUUAUUUCAAUCAAUAUUCUUUGCUUGCAUAAAAGCAUAAAUAUAGUAUUAACUGGUGUUGACAAACAUUGACAUUACACAUCAUCUCAUCAAUCAAGUGAAGGGACUAUUCAAAUGUAGGUUUCAGAAA